UCGAAACCUGCCUAGCAGAACGACCCGCGAACGUGUUUCCGAUCACGGUCGUGGGGCAUUGUGGGCGCCUUGUGCGCCUUUUUGCUCCUCGUCCAAGCAGGGGGGUGCUCGCUUGUGACGCGUUCCCCUGCUGCCUAAACGAACCCCGGCGCGAAAAGCGUCAAGGAAUACAACAAAAGUGCGUGCCUCUGUCCCGUCCGGUCAGCCGGUGCGGGCGAGGUGCCAUGUCUUACUAACAAUAAACGACUCUCGGCAACGGAUAUCUCGGCUCUCGCAUCGAUGAAGAACGUAGCGAAAUGCGAUACUUGGUGUGAAUUGCAGAAUCCCGUGAACCAUCGAGUCUUUGAACGCAAGUUGCGCCCGAAGCCCUUUGGCUGAGGGCACGUCUGCCUGGGCGUCACGCAUCGCGUCUCCCCUACAAAUCACCUUGAUUUUGGAGGAAGGAGGAUGGCUUCCCGUGCCUCACCGGGCACGGCUGGCCUAAACUUGGAGCCAACGGCACGGAGUUGCUGCGGCGAUUGGUGGUGAACAAGGCCUCGGCCGCGCAAACAACCUGUUGCGGAAACCCGUGCUACUUUGGACUCGUCGGACCCUUUGACGUUGCUUCUAGCACCGCAAACCUUUGCGACCCCAGGUCAGGCGGGG
rnacentral:rRNA from 1 species